rnacentral:ncRNA from 1 species
ACCACAAGGGGAGCUAUUAAAAUGGCUGAGAGUGAAGUGUGACUUCUAACCCUUAGAACCUGUAAGUUAAUGCUUGCGUAGGAAUGUGGAUAGAA